GAGCGGUAGUUCAGUUGGUUAGAAUACCGGCCUGUCACGCCGGGGGUCGCGGGUUCGAGCCCCGUCCGCUCC
rnacentral:tRNA from 4 species